rnacentral:sRNA from 12 species
CUCUCGUGAUUAGUCAAGGCUUUUACGGAGCGACCUUAGAAAUAUGGUCAGCUUGCUUGUCCUACUUCGGUAAAUACAUUGAGAGGUUUGUAAAAGUUGGAGUAGCUUUAAGAGUGAAAGAACAAGACAAC